rnacentral:rRNA from 1 species
UUGGAGGGCAAGUCUGGUGCCAGCAGCCGCGGUAAUUCCAGCUCCAAUAGCGUAUAUUAAAGUUGUUGCAGUUAAAAAGCUCGUAGUUGAAUUUCGGGAUCAAUAUAUCGGUCGUGCCUUUGGUACGUACUGGUAUCAUUGAUUUCUCCUUUCUGACGAAUCAUGAUGUCAUUAAUUUGGUGUUAUGAGGAGUUAGGACUGUUACUUUGAAAAAAUUAGAGUGUUUAAAGCAGGCAUUAGCUUGAAUACAUUAGCAUGGAAUAAUGAAAUAGGACGUUUGACCCUAUUUUGUUGGUUUUUAGGAUCGACGUAAUGAUUAAUAGGGAUAGUUGGGGGCAUUAGUAUUCAAUUGUCAGAGGUGAAAUUCUUGGAUUUAUUGAAGACUAACUACUGCGAAAGCAUUUGCCAAGGAUGUUUUCAUUAAUCAAGAACGAAAGUUAGGGGAUCGAAGACGAUCAGAUACCGUCGUAGUCUUAACCAUAAACUAUGUCGACUAGGGAUCGGAUGAUGUUAAUUUUAUAAUGACUCAUUCGGCGCCUUACGGGAAAC